CUUCCCCGCUCUCCAUAAUUAUAUCUCUUUCCAGUAAAAAAAAAAAAAUACGCAUUCGUGCUAUUACUCCUCCUUAAACAUCUCCAUCUCCAUCCAUAUUUAAUAUUGUAAAGGGGAAUCGAAUCGGACCAUUAUUUGGGGAUGGAAAAACAAUAGGGACAGUUAUGAAAGCUGGUAGAAAAGGUCUCUCUCUCCUGAGUCACCCCCUUCGAAAUCAGAACAGAUCUUUUUAAGAAAGGGGGUAACCUUAACCUGGGAGUUGGCCGUGAAGUUCAAAUCUCAUCGGAUGGGGUGAGAGAUAAGAACUUGAUGCAAUUGAAGAAGCUCAACACAGCUCUAUUCCCUGUUCGCUACAAUGAAAAGUAAUACGCGGAUGCCCUUGCUUCUGGCGAAUUUACAAAGCUAGGUUUGAAUCCUCUUGUGGGAUUUUACUAUUUCUUUCGCCUCGUUCUGUUAUUGCUUUCCUGCGGUUCGUUUCCUUUCCGCCGAGAUUUUUAGGGUUAAUAAUGUUAUUUGUGGGUGGUGAUGUAGAUUUUACGGGUUGGGUUUUGGGCUUUUGAUGAUGUGAGCUUGGGGUUCUUUUCCUUUGUGGUGGUUUGGAGUUGACCCACUAAUGAUUGUCCUCUGUUUUGGUGAAAAUAUAAUGAGUUUUUUUUUUUUUGGUAAGAAGUACUUAUGUUUUUAGCUCUAAAUUGUGGGGCUUGCUUUUGAUGCUGCUGGAAGAUUGGGCGCUUUUGUGAGACCUUUUCUUUCAUCUCUCUCUCUCUUCCUACCUUCCUCAAUGAAAUGUUUGUUUUAAAAAAAAAAAAAUGGAAAAUCUGAUUAUCUGA